CAUAUGUUAGAGGGAAAUUUCCGGGAGUAGAUGUCCCAUGAUGGAAAUUCCAUGGGGAGGGGUAAUUUACACAUGGAAAUUCCAUGGACAGGGCCAAAUUUAAAUGGAAAUUCCAUGGGGAAGGCCUAAUUUAGAAUGGAAAUUCCUUGGGGAAGGGUAAUUUUUACAAGGAAUUUCCAUGGGAAGGGGUAAAUUUUACAUGAAAAUUUGCGGAAUUCCAGGGGAGUACCGACAUAAGAAAGGGGUUCCUCAACAGGGGGGGGUGCGGAUAAUAAUUGGAAUAGCCCAUUGGAAUCUUCAUGCUCAAAUUAGUCUAUACCACACACAAAUUUCAUGAUGUUUGGAUAUUCAGGGCAUGAGUUGAACGGCGUUUUGACAAUGUUGUUUUCGCUAUGUAAGCAUAUUUUCUUUGAAGCGGAAGUUCCUGUGAAAUGUAUAAAAUAUAGAAAAACAAAAUUUUCAAAAUGCUGUAUUUAUAAGACUUAUAACCCUCAACCCAAAAUUUCCAAUGGACUAAUUUGAGCAUGAAGAUUUUAAUUCUUCAGUCCAUAUCCAGAGCCUGAAAUAAUUUUAAAAUUUGUCUGGAAAAACUUCCGAUCAAAACGAAAUUUGACCGGAAAUUUGCAAAAUUGACCGGAAUUUUUUUUAGUUUAGUUUAACCAAGUACACCCCCCCCCCCCCCANNNNNNNNNNNNNNNNNNNNCAGAGCCUGAAAUAAUUUUAAAAUUUGUCCGGAAAAACUUCCGAUCAAAACGAAAUUUGACCGGAAAUUUGCAAAAUUGACCGGAAUUUUUUUAGUUUAGUUUGACCAAGUCCACCCCCCCCCCCCAACGAGCAAACUCUGUCAAGUAUACAGACGUGCACCGAGUAAAUCACUCUACUUGCAAUAAUAAAAGACAAAUGUUUAAUUCUGAAUUGCUUAUUGGAAUAGUGAUAGUGAAUAAUAAUUUAAUCACGCCCGCCGACGCUGUUUUUAUCUUGACCCGACAACACCAUGCUGUAAGCCGCCAUCUUGUUUAUUGGGCCCGUGAACUAUACUUUCUAGUUGAUUACUUUAUAAUUAUUAGCCUAAUAUAGAUAAUCCAAACUUACAGAUGGUACUCACUGUGCUGAGUUCCGACCGAUCAUUAAGAAAACAUUUUUAUUUUUCUCAAAAUUUGGCCGGACAAAAUUUCCGAUCAUUUCAGCAUUUGGUCAAAAAAUCGGAAUUUGGUUGGAAAACCGCCGGCCGUUAUUUCAGGCUCUGAUAUCUGCUAAAUAUGAAGAUGAAAAAUCAAUGAUGGCAUGAUGCAAACUCGAAUUGGAGAAUGUACUUUUUAAAAAUAUAGCUUUGCAAAUGAAUAAAAGCAUUUAGUUUUGUGUACGAUUCACUGUAUGUGUAUUUGUUGAGAUAAUUAUUAUUUAUAUAAAAUUUAGAAAGAUUUAAACUUUUCCGUGCAUAUACGCAGGUCAAGGCCGGAUUUUGGUGAAAAUAGUGGGGGAAGUGGAAAAAAUUUUAGAGGAGGUGCAACAGUUUAGCUCACGACCCCCAUAAAAAGUUAUAUAUGUGGUGUACAUAUAUGUAUUAGUGUAUUAGGAAUGUUCGGUAUGAGAAAUUUCCGUUAUCGGUAUACCAAAAAAAUUAUACCGAUAUUGUAUUAUUGAUUGCAUUCUACACCUGCCUCACAACUUGCCCAAAUCUCUCAAUAAUAAGCAACCAAAUUUUCACUUUGAUCUAUCAUUGAAACAUUCCCAAGGAGAGGUGCAUGAUUUUUUAGGGGGUGUGUAAAAAUUCUAGGGACUAUUAGGGGAGGUGCGCACCCACACCUCCCCUCAAAGUCCGGCCAUGAUGCAGAUAUGGAAAGUGGUCAACUGAAAGGUAGCCUUAAUUAAUUCAAAUUAUAAUCUUGAACAACUGAGCCAGUGCAGGUAGUGCCAAUAAUAACAAAAGUUCAGUUGAUAGGGAUGCAAUUACCAGAAAAAUACAAGGAGAACUUUGACAUUUCGAAGUUCGCCUUGCCAGGUAGUUGCAUCCUUAUCAAGAAAUCUGUGGUGCAAAACCAACCUCAUUCCCAGGCUCUUACAUGUUGUGGAUGAAAGACCCUGGUAGGAGCUGGUCACGUGA
rnacentral:lncRNA from 1 species